rnacentral:rRNA from 1 species
UGGGGAAUUUUGGACAAUGGGCGAAAGCCUGAUCCAGCAAUGCCGCGUGUGUGAAGAAGGCCUUCGGGUUGUAAAGCACUUUUGUCCGGAAAGAAAUCCUUGGCUCUAAUACAGUCGGGGGAUGACGGUACCGGAAGAAUAAGCACCGGCUAACUACGUGCCAGCAGCCGCGGUAAUACGUAGGGUGCAAGCGUUAAUCGGAAUUACUGGGCGUAAAGCGUGCGCAGGCGGUUUGCUAAGACCGAUGUGAAAUCCCCGGGCUCAACCUGGGAACUGCAUUGGUGACUGGCAGGCUAGAGUAUGGCAGAGGGGGGUAGAAUUCCACGUGUAGCAGUGAAAUGCGUAGAGAUGUGGAGGAAUACCGAUGGCGAAGGCAGCCCCCUGGGCCAAUACUGACGCUCAUGCACGAAAGCGUGGGGAGCAAAACAGGAUUAGAUACCCUGGUAGUCCACGCCCUAAAACGAUGUCAACUAGUUGUUGGGGGAUUCAUUUCCUUAGUAACGUAGCUAACGCGUGAAGUUGACCGCCUGGGGGAGUACGGUCGCAAGAUUAAAACUUAAAUGAAUUGACGGGGUCAUAGCUGUUUCCU